rnacentral:rRNA from 1 species
UCUCCCCGAAAGCUAUUUAGGUAGCGCCUCGUGAACUCAUCUCCGGGGGUAGAGCACUGUUUCGGCUAGGGGGCCAUCCCGGCUUACCAACCCGAUGCAAACUGCGAAUACCGGAGAAUGUUAUCACGGGAGACACACGGCGGGUGCUAACGUCCGUCGUGAAGAGGGAAACAACCCAGACCGCCAGCUAAGGUCCCAAAGUCAUGGUUAAGUGGGAAACGAUGUGGGAAGGCCCAGACAGCCAGGAUGUUGGCUUAGAAGCAGCCAUCAUUUAAAGAAAGCGUAAUAGCUCACUGGUCGAGUCGGCCUGCGCGGAAGAUGUAACGGGGCUAAACCAUGCACCGAAGCUGCGGCAGCGACGCUGAUGCGUUGUUGGGUAGGGGAGCGUUCUGUAAGCCUGCGAAGGUGGCCUGUGAGGGUUGCUGGAGGUAUCAGAAGUGCGAAUGCUGACAUAAGUAACGAUAAAGCGGGUGAAAAGCCCGCUCGCCGGAAGACCAAGGGUUCCUGUCCAACGUUAAUCGGGGCAGGGUGAGUCGACCCCUAAGGCGAGGCCGAAAGGCGUAGUCGAUGGGAAACGGGUUAAUAUUCCCGUACUUGGUGUUACUGCGAAGGGGGGACGGAGAAGGCUAUGUUGGCCGGGCGACGGUU